CAUUUCUCAACCUAGAAAAUUUCUUAUAUUUCAAAUUUUUUCAUGUUUAUAUGACUGGAUUUUCAUAAUUUUACUUUCCUGAGUUAUGAGCCAUGUGCAUUUGCUGUUCUAAAGAUAGUUUCAGAGGCUUACUUACGUCCCAUCUUUUGUUGUCGUUGCCAGGAUGGGAUCAGUCAGAUAAGUUUGUGAAAAUCUACAUUACCUUAACUGGAGUUCAUCAAGUUCCCACUGAGAAUGUGCAGGUGCAUUUCACAGAGAGGUGAGUUCUCAUUAUAAUGGGAAAGACAGUGAAUUAACAGUCAACAUUGCCUUAUCUUGAGACUCUCUUCUUUGCAGUUUUUAAAAUUCUUAAAUUUAGAAUUAAUUAUACUUUACAACUACUUUGAAGAGGUGAGCGUUAACUGGCCAAAUGCACACCCUGAAAUAAAGCCAGCAGCUUUUUUCCCACAAGAACUAUGGAGUAAGAGCACCUUUCAUAGAACUAGAAAGAUGAUGUAUUCACCAUUGUGUUGCAGGUCAUUUGAUCUUUUGGUAAAGAAUCUAAAUGGGAAGAGUUACUCCAUGAUUGUGAACAAUCUCUUGAAACCCAUCUCUGUGGAAGGCAGUUCAAAAAAAGUCAAGACUGAUACAGUUCUUAUAUUGUGUAGAAAGAAAGUGGAAAACACAAGGUGGGAUUACCUGACCCAGGUUGAAAAGGAGUGCAAAGAAAAAGAGUGAGUCUACUUCCAUUUUUUUAAAGAAUUUUAGUGUAUUGUUUGAGAUCAUGGAUUUUUAAUAGUUUGUCUUUAUGGAUAAUGUAUUUCUGCUUUCAACUGUCAAACUACCUGAAGAGGGCACGUCCAGCAAGUUGCUUUUUAAGGUCUUUGUAGUUAAGGGUUGGCUCUUUAGUGUGGUUCUUAACCCU
rnacentral:sRNA from 1 species